CCUACGGGAGGCAGCAGUGGGGAAUAUUGGACAAUGGGGGGAACCCUGAUCCAGCCAUGCCGCGUGUGUGAAGAAGGCCCGCGGGUUGUAAAGCACUUUCAGUGAGGAAGAACGCCUGGUGGUUAAUACCCAUCAGCAAAGACAUCACUCACAGAAGAAGCACCGGCUAACUCCGUGCCAGCAGCCGCGGUAAUACGGAGGGUGCGAGCGUUAAUCGGAAUUACUGGGCGUAAAGCGCGCGUAGGUGGCUUGAUAAGCCGGUUGUGAAAGCCCCGGGCUCAACCUGGGAACGGCAUCCGGAACUGUCAAGCUAGAGUGCAGGAGAGGAAGGUAGAAUUCCCGGUGUAGCGGUGAAAUGCGUAGAGAUCGGGAGGAAUACCAGUGGCGAAGGCGGCCUUCUGGACUGACACUGACACUGAGGUGCGAAAGCGUGGGUAGCAAACAGGAUUAGAUACCCCAGUAGUC
rnacentral:rRNA from 1 species